rnacentral:lncRNA from 1 species
GAUAAGAGAUUUAUUCCAAGAUCCAAAAGCCUUUCUUGCUUUUAUCAGCUUCCCACUGCAACUUCAGUAGUCAUAAUCUCAGCCUUCACUUGGAUGUUGUUGGAUUCCGGUUUAAUCUCUUCCGGUUUAGCAGCCACAGACACGCAAGAAGCCUUCUCUCCCUCUGCUUCUUCUUUCUUCUCUUCAGGUUUAGCAGCCACAGUAGAAGAAGUCUUCUGUUCCUCUCUUCUCUUCUCUGCUUCUUCUUUCUUCCUUUCUUUGACUUUCACUGACUCAGUCUUUGGCUGAGACUUUGUUAUGGGUUUCUUCAAG